AGGAGCUUAGGAUAAUUUAGACCAAGGGCCUUCAAAGCCCUAAGCGAGAGUGAAAGUCUCUCAGCUCCUG
rnacentral:tRNA from 1 species